rnacentral:lncRNA from 1 species
AUUAUCUCUCUUUUUGUCUCCACACAAUUGUAUUUUAUAAUAGCUUUUAUUAGGGCCUACAUGAAUGGAAUUUAAAAUGAACACAUCAUUCUGUUACUUCUACAGUUCAGAAAAAGAGAGCACUUUUCUGAUAUUUGGCGUGAAAAGUGCUUUCCUUUGUGUUUUAUGACAUAUAGCAAAUUGCAUUAGAUAGGGACAUAUUUGAGCAGGAAGGUAACUAAGAGCAGUACAGGGCAGUUCUGUCACUUUUAGUAACUUCACCUUGGUCUGAAAGUGGGUGUAAUGCCCAGCAUAUAACGGGGGAAUGUUCUCCCCCAGAAAGGUUUGAUCUUGUUGUCACUGAAACAAAAUUCAAAAUUUCCACUGGCUGCCAUGAGAAAAACAUCAGAGUAGCAGAUGCCUAAGUUAAAGUUAGUGUGUAUGCAAACUAUGUACCCACCUCUGAAACUGAGCUUGCCUCCCCGACCUCCCAGAUUCCACCUACGGUGCCAGCAGCGCCUACCUUGAUACCAGCCGCCGUGUUCUCAUGUUGGUCCCUGCAUUUGGGGUGUCUCCUUGCCACCUGGCGGCUGAGGCAUUGUCUUCUCCUUUAUGAACUGCCUCCUGAAGUCUCCCUUCUGCCAGCACACCUCCACUCAAUGUGGAUAGGAGGAUACUCCAGCUCCCAGCUAAGUCUCUGCCCCCAGGUGCGUGGUGCCGGGCUGCGAGCCGCACAAGCGAGGAGAGGUGACGGCCCUCGGCACGGCACGCCGAGCAGGUAACAGCCCAGCUAACGUUACAGCCAGUCUCUCAGGAAGGUGCAAAAACCGUCUCCCUCCUUGGCACGAGUAACAACUUUUGUGAAAUAUAAAAGGACUUUUUGUAUCUUUGAGACCUCUACCUCUUUGGCAAAUUUGAUUGAAAGCGGCCGCGUGGUUUACAGACACUGGGGAACGGAAGCUGAUAGACAGGUAAACAUCAUGAUAGCACAUGUCUCACUUCCUUAAAAAACUGACUGAAAAGAUGAGGAGGCG